UAAAAAUGGUGGACAGUGGCUACUGGACAUGUCUGCCUUGCUGAGAAGACCAGUAUCAUUUGGUUGAUUAUGUCCCAGAUUAUACAUUUGGAUAACUUAAACUUUUCUUCUUUCUUUCUUUCCUUUUUUUUUUUUUUGCCCUCAGGCCUCUUGUACACAUGAUGUGAUCACUCCAAGCUGACUUUUUCAUUUGGAGAGAGAGAGAGAGACCUCAGCACCAGAGAUACCCCUUGGGCCAUAGCACUCACCAUGUGGUGCUGAGACUGGCAUCUGGGUUCCGCAGAUGGCAAGGCAGACACUCCACCUGAAAGAAGAAUUGGAUGCAGCAGCUAAGCCACCACCCUAACAGAAUGGAGGAAUCACGCUGGACUGACUGAAACCUGAAUCAUUCACAAAAAUCAGAGUGGGAGGGAAGGAAGGACAGAAGACCUGAGAAG